GGACCGAGCUCCAAGAACCACUGUUCUAAGGCGCUCCUCCGGUGGAAGCAGUGGUUAUGCAUUUGAGGUGUUGAAGGAUGCAAGGAAUCUCUCAUUGCACGGACCCUCUGGAAAGUUCUAUUAGUUUACAUCCCUGAAGAACAAGACUCGUUUCACCAUACAUUCACCAAUGUGGAAGAUUGUUUAUCCACCUAAUCUUUCUUAAUUGCAUAGGAGGAGAAUGAUAUACUU
rnacentral:lncRNA from 1 species